rnacentral:rRNA from 1 species
UACGAAGGGGGCUAGCGUUGCUCGGAAUUACUGGGCGUAAAGCGCACGUAGGCGGCUUUCUAAGUCGGGGGUGAAAGCCUGUGGCUCAACCACAGAAUUGCCUUCGAUACUGUAGAGCUUGAGACCGGAAGAGGUAAGUGGAACUGCGAGUGUAGAGGUGAAAUUCGUAGAUAUUCGCAAGAACACCAGUGGCGAAGGCGGCUUACUGGUCCGGUUCUGACGCUGAGGCGCGAAAGCGUGGGGAGCAAACAGG